AGCAGCCGCGGUAAUUCCAGCUCCAAUAGCGUAUAUUAAAGUUGUUGCAGUUAAAAAGCUCGUAGUUGAAUUUCGGGAUCAAUAUAUCGGUCGUGCCUUGGUACGUACUGGUAUCAAUUGGUUUCUCCUUUCUGACGAACCAUGAUGUCAUUAAUUUGGUGUUAUGGGAAGUUAGGACUGUUACUUUGAAAAAAUUGAGUGUUUAAAGCAAGCUAACGCUUGAAUACAUCAGCAUGGAAUAAUGAAAUAGGACGUUUGAUUCUAUUUUGUUGGUUUCUAGGAUCGACGUAAUGAUUAAUAGGGAUAGUUGGGGGCAUUAGUAUUCAAUUGUCAGAGGUGAAAUUCUUGGAUUUAUUGAAGACUAACUACUGCGAAAGCAUUUGCCAAGGAUGUUUUCAUUAAUCAAGAACGAAAGUUAGGGGAUCGAAGACGAUCAGAUACCGUCGUAGUCUUAACCAUAAACUAUGCCGACUAGGGAUCGGAUGAUGUUAAUUUUUAAUGACUCAUUCGGCGCCUUAAC
rnacentral:misc_RNA from 1 species